AGCAUCGAUACCAUGGCCUUGAGUCUUCUCUUCAUCCUGCUUGCUCUCUGCACAGGGAGCAGUGCCCAGGCUGUGGUGACUCAGGAGCCUUCUCUGACCGUGAUCCCAGGAGGGACAGUCACUCUGACCUGCAGCUCCAGCACAGGGGCGGUCACCUCUGGGAACUAUCCUUGCUGGAUCCAGCAGAAAUCUGGCCAGUCCCCCAGGGGGCUCAUUUACGGCACCAACAAUCUUUUACCAGGUGUCCCUGCUCGGUUUUCAGGGUCCCUCCUUGGGGACAAAGCUGCCCUCACCAUCAAGGGGGCCCAGCCUGAGGAUGAGGCUCACUAUUACUGUGUCUUGCAUUAUAGUGGUCGAUGGCACAGUGAGAGAGACAGAUGUAGAACUGAGACAAAAACCUCUUCUUGCCCUAUUUGUAUGCAUCCAUAUGCUUUGACCACCUCUCUGAAAAACCUCAAGUCAUAAGAAUCUGAGGCUAAGAUGGCCCCAUGUCUGGCCACAUCUGAUUAUUGUGGGUGUUUCCAGGUUCACAGUGUGAAGACAUGUUAUACACCAG